CUUAAAGUUGGUUACACCCCCUUGGCUUUCAGUCAGAAAACAGGUCCUGUUUGUUCCUGGUUUGGUAAGCGCAAUGGAGCUAAACUCAAGAGGCAGCAAUUGCCCAGAGCCCCUGCAUUUGCAUUGCAAAGACUUCUCAUUGAGCUGGAAUAGGAAGGCUGUGAUUGGACAGCUAUAUACGGUCUGGGCAUAGUUAGAAGGGGAGGGUUUGCAAAG